GACGAACGCUGGCGGCGUGCCUAAUACAUGCAAGUAGGACGCAGUUGCGAACGGGUGAGUAACGCGUCGGUAACUGCCUAUUAGAGGGGGAUAACUAUUGGAAACGAUAGCUAAUACCGCAUACUAGUAGAUGGACCUGCGUUGUAUUAGCUAGUAGGUAGGGUAAUGGCCUACCUAGGCAACGAUACAUAGCCGACCUGAGAAGGUGGACGGCCAAACUGGGACUGGGAAACGGCCCCGACUCCUACGGGAGGCAGCCGUAGGGAAACUGCGGCAAUGGGGGGAACCCUGACCGAGCAACGCCGCGUGAGUGAAGAAGGUUUUCGGAUCGUAAAGCUCUGUUGUUAAGGAAGCGGUACUUAACCAGAAAGGGACGGCUAACUACGUGCCAGCAGCCGCGGUAAUAC
rnacentral:rRNA from 1 species